GUAGGCUAACACAUGCAAGUCGAACGGCAGCACAGGAGAGCUUGCUCUCUGGGUGGCGAGUGGCGGACGGGUGAGGAAUACAUCGGAAUCUACUUUUUCGUGGGGGAUAACGUAGGGAAACUUACGCUAAUACCGCAUACGACCUACGGGUGAAAGCAGGGGAUCUUCGGACCUUGCGCGAUUGAAUGAGCCGAUGUCGGAUUAGCUAGUUGGCGGGGUAAAGGCCCACCAAGGCGACGAUCCGUAGCUGGUCUGAGAGGAUGAUCAGCCACACUGGAACUGAGACACGGUCCAGACUCCUACGGGAGGCAGCAGUGGGGAAUAUUGGACAAUGGGCGCAAGCCUGAUCCAGCCAUACCGCGUGGGUGAAGAAGGCCUUCGGGUUGUAAAGCCCUUUUGUUGGGAAAGAAAUCCAGCUGGCUAAUACCCGGUUGGGAUGACGGUACCCAAAGAAUAAGCACCGGCUAACUUCGUGCCAGCAGCCGCGGUAAUACGAAGGGUGCAAGCGUUACUCGGAAUUACUGGGCGUAAAGCGUGCGUAGGUGGUCGUUUAAGUCCGUUGUGAAAGCCCUGGGCUCAACCUGGGAACUGCAGUGGAUACUGGACGACUAGAGUGUGGUAGAGGGUAGCGGAAUUCCUGGUGUAGCAGUGAAAUGCGUAGAGAUCAGGAGGAACAUCCAUGGCGAAGGCAGCUACCUGGACCAACACUGACACUGAGGCACGAAAGCGUGGGGAGCAAACAGGAUUAGAUANCCUGGUAGUCCACGCCCUAAACGAUGCGAACUGGAUGUUGGGUGCAAUUUGGCACGCAGUAUCGAAGCUAACGCGUUAAGUUCGCC
rnacentral:rRNA from 1 species